rnacentral:rRNA from 1 species
AUACGGAGGGUGCAAGCGUUAAUCGGAAUCACUGGGCGUAAAGGACGCGUAGGCGGGUUGGUAAGUCAGGUGUGAAAUCCUACAGCUUAACUGUAGAACUGCACUUGAAACUACCAACCUAGAGUAUGGGAGGGGGAGAUGGAAUUAGUGGUGUAGGGGUAAAAUCCGUAGAUAUCACUAGGAAUACCGAAAGCGAAGGCGAUCUCCUGGAACAUAACUGACGCUAAGGCGUGAAAGCGUGGGGAGCAAACAGGAUUAGAAACCCGAGUAGUCC